rnacentral:rRNA from 1 species
GACGAACGCUGGCGGCGUGCCUAAUACAUGCAAGUCGAACGCACGAAGUUGAAGAGCUUGCUCUUUAACCAAGUGAGUGGCGGACGGGUGAGUAACACGUGGGUAACCUGCCCAUUAGAGGGGGAUAACAUUCGGAAACGGAUGCUAAUACCGCAUAGUUUCAGGAAUCGCAUGAUUCUUGAAGGAAAGGUGGCUUCGGCUACCACUAAUGGAUGGACCCGCGGCGUAUUAGCUAGUUGGUGAGGUAAUGGCUCACCAAGGCAAUGAUACGUAGCCGACCUGAGAGGGUGAUCGGCCACACUGGGACUGAGACACGGCCCAGACUCCUACGGGAGGCAGCAGUAGGGAAUCUUCCGCAAUGGACGAAAGUCUGACGGAGCAACGCCGCGUGAGUGAAGAAGGUUUUCGGAUCGUAAAACUCUGUUGUUAAAGAAGAACAAGGAUGAGAGUAACUGCUCAUCCCCUGACGGUAUUUAACCAGAAAGCCACGGCUAACUACGUGCCAGCAGCCGCGGUAA